rnacentral:rRNA from 1 species
CUCUGUGACUCCUACGGGAGGCAGCAGUGGGGAAUAUUGCACAAUGGGGGAAACCCUGAUGCAGCCAUGCCGCGUGUGUGAAGAAGGCCUUCGGGUUGUAAAGCACUUUCAGUAGGGAGGAAGGUAGUGUAGUUAAUACCUGCAUUAUUUGACGUUACCUACAGAAGAAGCACCGGCUAACUCCGUGCCAGCAGCCGCGGUAAUACGGAGGGUGCGAGCGUUAAUCGGAAUUACUGGGCGUAAAGCGCAUGCAGGCGGCCUGUUAAGUCAGAUGUGAAAGCCCCGGGGCUUAACCUCGGAAUUGCAUUUGAAACUGGCAGGCUAGAGUCUUGUAGAGGGGGUAGAAUUUCAGGUGUAGCGGUGAAAUGCGUAGAGAUCUGAAGGAAUACCGGUGGCGAAGGCGGCCCCCUGGACAGAUACUGACACUCAGAUGCGAAAGCGUGGGGAGCAAACAGGAUUAGAUACCCUGGUAG